GCUGCAAAUGAUGAGCUUACUCGGAUUCCCCUUCAGGACAUCAAAUUGGAUGAUGCAAAUUCGAGUUCCUGAUGCGCU
rnacentral:snoRNA from 1 species